UGGCCUUUAAUGUUACAUGCAAAGGUUUGUGAUGAAAGUCCUCUUUGGCCCGUAGUGCAUAGAUGAACAUGUGUUUGGCAUGAUCAUGACCACUGGUGAUACAAACGAUUAUCUUUGGCCCAUAGUGCAUAGAUAAUUCGUUGAUUAGAAAUAAUUAUUGAUUGGUUUUACAGGGAUAAAAUAUUGAUGAUAGACUUUUAAAUCAUAGAAGAUAGUAGACAUCAUACUCUACUUGACUUUUCUAAUGGAUUGUUAUUUCCGCUGUAGUUGUUGAUCU
rnacentral:lncRNA from 1 species